rnacentral:tRNA from 1 species
GAGGGUAUAGUUCAGUGGUAGAGUGCUUGCCCAGCAUGCCCUAGGUCCUGGGUUCAAUCCCCAGUACCUCCA